UACGAAGGGGGCUAGCGUUGCUCGGAAUCACUGGGCGUAAAGCGCACGUAGGCGGACUCUUAAGUCGGUGGUGAAAUCCUGGAGCUCAACUCCAGAACUGCCUUCGAUACUGAGAGUCUCGAGUCCGAGAGAGGUGAGUGGAACUGCGAGUGUAGAGGUGAAAUUCGUAGAUAUUCGCAAGAACACCAGUGGCGAAGGCGGCUCACUGGCUCGGUACUGACGCUGAGACGCGAAAGCGUGGGGAGCGAACAGG
rnacentral:rRNA from 1 species